GUAACACGUGGGUAACCUGCCUGUAAGACUGGGAUAACUCCGGGAAACCGGGGCUAAUACCGGAUGCUUGUUUGAACCGCAUGGUUCAAACAUAAAAGGUGGCUUCGGCUACCACUUACAGAUGGACCCGCGGCGCAUUAGCUAGUUGGUGAGGUAAUGGCUCACCAAGGCGACGAUGCGUAGCCGACCUGAGAGGGUGAUCGGCCACACUGGGACUGAGACACGGCCCAGACUCCUACGGGAGGCAGCAGUAGGGAAUCUUCCGCAAUGGACGAAAGUCUGACGGAGCAACGCCGCGUGAGUGAUGAAGGUUUUCGGAUCGUAAAGCUCUGUUGUUAGGGAAGAACAAGUACCGUUCGAAUAGGGCGGUACCUUGACGGUACCUAACCAGAAAGCCACGGCUAACUACGUGCCAGCAGCCGCGGUAAUACGUAGGUGGCAAGCGUUGUCCGGAAUUAUUGGGCGUAAAGGGCUCGCAGGCGGUUUCUUAAGUCUGAUGUGAAAGCCCCCGGCUCAACCGGGGAGGGUCAUUGGAAACUGGGGAACUUGAGUGCAGAAGAGGAGAGUGGAAUUCCACGUGUAGCGGUGAAAUGCGUAGAGAUGUGGAGGAACACCAGUGGCGAAGGCGACUCUCUGGUCUGUAACUGACGCUGAGGAGCGAAAGCGUGGGGAGCGAACAGGAUUAGAUACCCUGGUAGUCCACGCCGUAAACGAUGAGUGCUAAGUGUUAGGGGGUUUCCGCCCCUUAGUGCUGCAGCUAACGCAUUAAGCACUCCGCCUGGGGAGUACGGUCGCAAGACUGAAACUCAAAGGAAUUGACGGGGGCCCGCACAAGCGGUGGAGCAUGUGGUUUAAUUCGAAGCAACGCGAAGAACCUUACCAGGUCUUGACAUCCUCUGACAAUCCUAGAGAUAGGACGUCCCCUUCGGGGGCAGAGUGACAGGUGGUGCAUGGUUGUCGUCAGCUCGUGUCGUGAGAUGUUGGGUUAAGUCCCGCAACGAGCGCAACCCUUGAUCUUAGUUGCCAGCAUUCAGUUGGGCACUCUAAGGUGACUGCCGGUGACAAACCGGAGGAAGGUGGGGAUGACGUCAAAUCAUCAUGCCCCUUAUGACCUGGGCUACACACGUGCUACAAUGGACAGAACAAAGGGCAGCGAAACCGCGAGGUUAAGCCAAUCCCACAA
rnacentral:rRNA from 1 species